GACGAACGCUGGCGGCGUGCUUAACACAUGCAAGUCGAACGGAAAGGCCCUGCUUUUGUGGGGUGCUCGAGUGGCGAACGGGUGAGUAACACGUGAGUAACCUGCCCUUGACUUUGGGAUAACUUCAGGAAACUGGGGCUAAUACAGGCUAGGAGCUCCUGCUGCAUGGUGGGGGUUGGACAGUUUCGGCGGUUGGGGAUGGACUCGCGGCUUAUCAGCUUGUUGGUGGGGUAGUGGCUUACCCAGGCUUUGACGGGUAGCCGGCCUGAGAGGGUGACCGGCCACAUUGGGACUGAGAUACGGCCCAGACUCCUACGGGAGGCAGCAGUGGGGAAUAUUGCACAAUGGGCGGAAGCCUGAUGCAGCAACGCCGCGUGCGGGAUGACGGCCUUCGGGUUGUAAACCGCUGUCGCCUGUGACGAAGCGUGAGUGACGGUAAUGGGUAAAGAAGCACCGGCUAACUACGUG
rnacentral:rRNA from 1 species